rnacentral:rRNA from 1 species
UACGGAGGGUGCAAGCGUUAAUCGGAAUUACUGGGCGUAAAGCGCACGUAGGCGGCCUUUUAAGUCAGAUGUGAAAUCCCCGGGCUCAACCUGGGAACUGCACCUGAUACUGGGAGGCUAGAAUGUGGGAGAGGAGAGUAGAAUUUCCGGUGUAGCGGUGAAAUGCAUAGAGAUCGGAAGGAAUACCAGUGGCGAAGGCGGCUCUCUGGACCAACAUUGACGCUGAGGUGCGAAAGCGUGGGUAGCAAACAGG